CUGCGCCUUGGCGAGGGUAGUGGCGCGGCGCUGGCGUUGCCGCUGGUGCGUUCGGCCGUGGAUCUGUUGAACCAGAUGGCGUCGU
rnacentral:tRNA from 1 species